GACGAACGCUGGCGGCGUGCUUAAAACAUGCAAGUCGAACGGACUUCUCAUGAAGCUUGCGAUUGAGAAGUUAGUGGCGGACGGGUGAGUAACGCGUGGGCAACCUGCCCCUGAGCCCGGGAUAACAGUUCGAAAGGACUGCUAAGACCGGAUAUACUUGCGGUGAAGCAUUUCACUGCAAGGAAAGGGAACGCUCAGGGAUGGGCCCGCGUCCCAUUAGCUAGUUGGUGAGGUAACGGCCCACCAAGGCGACGAUGGGUAGCCGGCCUGAGAGGGUGAACGGCCACACUGGGACUGAGACACGGCCCAGACUCCUACGGGAGGCAGCAGUUGGGAAUCUUCGGCAAUGGGCGCAAGCCUGACCGAGCAACGCCGCGUGAGUGAUGAAGGUUUUCGGAUUGUAAAGCUCUGUCUUCCGGGACGAUAAUGACGGUACCGGAGGAGGAAGCCACGGCUAACUACGUG
rnacentral:rRNA from 1 species